AUCUUCUUCUUUUAUAUAAAGAUAAAUAUUUAAUAAUAGUUUGAAUAAAUUUACUAAUAUUUAACUCAGAUCAGUUUAAUAUUUAACUGUAAUAAAUUUUAUUAAGAACUAGGCUGGAAUGCUAUCAAUAGCACCAAGCUAUUGAUGCUACUGAUUUUUUAGUCCUUGGAUUGAGAAAUGAGUGGUUAGGAUGAUAUGAGUCCUCUAGGGUUGAGUAAGUGGUUGGUUGAAUAGUAUAACCUAACAGAUAAAAAUAAUCAAAUCGUUAAACUUAACGGUAAAAAAUUCGAUAGCACCAAAUUCUUAGUGUCAUCGAUAGUACCCCAGCCGGACUCAUCUUAUUAAUAUCUUUUUAUGACAUGUAUAGGAUAAGUUAGCUUGGAUACUUAUGUUACUUUAAAUAGUCAAAUUUGUAU
rnacentral:lncRNA from 1 species